AACGAACGCUGGCGGCGUGCCUAACACAUGCAAGUCGAGCGAGUGAAUCUCCUUCGGGAGUGAAGCUAGCGGCGGACGGGUGAGUAACACGUGGGCAACCUGCCUCAUAGAGGGGAAUAGCCUUCCGGAAGGAAGAUUAAUACCGCAUAAGAUUGUAGCUUCGCAUGAAGUAGCAAUUAAAGGAGCAAUCCGCUAUGAGAUGGGCCCGCGGCGCAUUAGCUAGUUGGUGAGGUAACGGCUCACCAGGGCGACGAUGCGUAGCCGACCUGAGAGGGUGAUCGGCCACAUUGGGACUGAGACACGGCCCAGACUCCUACGGGAGGCAGCAGUGGGGAAUAUUGCACAAUGGGGGAAACCCUGAUGCAGCAACGCCGCGUGAGUGAUGACGGCCUUCGGGUUGUAAAGCUCUGUCUUCAGGGACGAUAAUGACGGUACCUGAGGAGGAAGCCACGGCUAACUACGUGCCAGCAGCCGCCGUAAUAC
rnacentral:rRNA from 1 species